rnacentral:lncRNA from 1 species
AAUUUCAGACUUAAAUUUCAGUCUUAGAGAAUGUUCUCUCUCCCACUACAUUGUGAAAUUCAAUACUCCAAACAACUUUAUAAUCAUUGAAUCGUAACCCAACCUAUACUAUAGCAUAUAACUACGAAUAAUCAACGAAUUCAAUCGUGAAGGCAUCAAGUAAAUUCUUUUGUUUUCUAGAAUACAAGUGGUUCAACCUCUAAUAGAACUAAUCCACUACAAUAGCAAGACGUGCAUUGAAAAUUCCUAGAAUAAAUUGGGUAUUGAACAACAUGGGCUUCGUUAAGUGAAUCCAAAUCUCAAGAAUGAGAUCAUAUCUCCAUGCUUUCAUAAAUGAGGCUGUAAUUGGAGCAUGUGGUGAAUUGAUGCAAAUGUAUCUUGAUAAAAUGAUUACUGUCGAUUAUAGAGCACCAAUUUUUUCAUACAGUAAAGGGGUUGCAUUUGAUCAGCGAAGAAUAUUUCUUUGAUGAGUUCUGAAGGAAUACAAGAUUAUUGAUCUUUAGGCAAUGAUUGCUAAAAGUUGUUGGGGUUAUUAUUUUUGAAUGGGUGAAAGAAGGCAAAUUUCUAAAAGACAAGGAUAGCUUGUUGAAUUUGAAGAACGGUAGACAAAUUAGAAAUAGAAAUUAAAACUGGUAUAAAGUUGAACCUUAAUUUUUGGGUAAAUUUCACAUGGGGUUCCUAAACCUUUAUGUUGAUAAUGAUAGAAGCUGUGCCCAUCUUAGCAUAGCCGACAGAGCGCGUGAUUUUUAAACCCCAUGAUCGUGGGUUUGAUUCCCACAAAUAGUAUUUUGUACUCUUAAAUAAUUUUAUUAAUCUAACUAUUCUAUAUUCAAAUAUAAAGUGGUUUUUUCUUCCAGAGAUCCAUAUGGGGUUCACUAAAAUGUUAUGAAGUUUAAAGCUUUAUCAAAUAUGAAUAUCCAUACUGCUUUUCGAUAAUGUAUAUUUUUUGCAUGUUACGUAAAAGUGAGAAUAGACGAUACAAAAAUAAUAACGAGAACACAAAAACUUACGUAAAAAUUCCAGACGGAAAAAAAAUCACAGGUGGAGGAGAAAUCUAUUGUAUCAAAGAUGAGUAUAGAGAGGAAUUUAGGACAGCUACAAUAAUAAAACAAGGCUUUGAAAACAAACUUUAGGAUAAAAUAGAAUUCUAAAUCUUUAACAUUAGAAUAUAUGAUUCCUUCAAAUCUCAUCGAAUUUAUCAUCUUACACUAUUCUGUGGAAUUUCACGAUCCAGUGGCGUAUCAAAAAAUUGGUGAUCAAUAAUCAACAGCGAUCAUUUCAUCUAAAUGUAUUUGCAUCAAUCCAUCAUAACAUGCUCCAAUCACAAUCUCGUUAAUGAAAGCAUAGAGAUGAGACUUCAUUCUGUAGAAUUGGAUUCAUUUGUUUGAAGCCCAUGUCGAUCAACCUUAGUUUAUUCCACUAAUUCUCAACCAUUUCUAACUAUUACAAUAUAUUAGUUGUAAUAGUGGUGGAACCAUUUAUAUUAUGGAACCCUUUUUCAAAAAGACAAAAGAGCUUACCCGAUAUCUUUUAUAUUGAAUCCAAUAAUUAUUCAUCUUUUUAUGCCAUUGAGCAUUAUAGGCUGGGUUAUGAUUCAAGAAACAAUGAUUAUAAAGAUGUUCGGGUGGUUGAUUAUCAUAUUUAGCAGGCAGUAAACAUUCUUUAAGAUUGAAAUUUUAAGCUUGAAAUUGAAUUCUUGAAGCAAGGUCCAACGUUUCCUUGCCUUUUUUAUGAAAAUCGCUGAAAGGCACAUGUCAAUGGGUCAUAGCAUAUGCUUCUUGAGAAUAUUCCAUCCAAAUUUGGACAAAACAUAUAGAAUUAUGGAUUUUAUUAUUGCGAAUUAGAAUCAUUACGAGUUAAUGUUGUCAACAAAUAUUCCGAUCGAGAAUGUUAGAAUGGAGGUGGAUUUCUAGAAGAGUGU